rnacentral:rRNA from 1 species
GCAUAUCAAUAAGCGGAGGAAAAGAAACUAACAAGGAUUCCCCUAGUAACGGCGAGUGAAGCGGGAAGAGCACAAAUUUAAAAUCUACCUGGUUUUCAGGUCGAGUUGUAAUUUGAAGAAACGUUUUUGACGUUCCGAGUUGGGAUAAAUCCUUUGGGAUGAGGUAUCAUGGAGGGUGAGAAUCCCGUGUAUACCAACCGCAGGGAUGUUAUUUAAUACGUUUUCUAAGAGUCGAGUUGUUUGGGAAUGCAGCUCUAAAUGGGUGGUAAAUUUCACCUAAUGCUAAAUAUAAGCGAGAGACCGAUAGCGAACAAGCACCGUGAGGGAAAGAUGAAAAGAACUUUGAAAAGAGAGUUAAAUAGUACGUGAAAUUGUUGAAAGGGAAACGAUUGAAGUCAGUCAUGCCGGCGGGAAUCAACUUAGGGGAAACUCUAAGUGCACUUCACGUUUGGCAGGUCAGCGUCGAUUUUGGAUAUCAUAAAAUGAUUGGGGGAAGGUAGCUCCUUCGGGAGUGUUAUAGCCCUUGAUAGAUGUGAUGUCUGGGAUCGAGGAUUGCGACGGAUACCCUUUGGGCUAGCCGCCUGAUCUCUAACUGGUGUUAGGUUACGGACAGCAUGCUGACCGUGAUUUAAUUACUGGUUAAAAGGUUAGAGCGAGUGUAAAUUCGUUAAGGAUGUUGACGUAAUGG